rnacentral:rRNA from 1 species
GACGAACGCUGGCGGCGUGCUUAACACAUGCAAGUCGAACGGUGAAGGGGCCUGCUUUUGUGGGUCCUGGAUGAGUGGCGAACGGGUGAGUAACACGUGAGUAACCUGCCCCCUUCUUCUGGAUAACCGCAUGAAAGUGUGGCUAAUACGGGAUAUUCUGGGUCUGUCGCAUGGUGGGCCUGGGAAAGAUUGCGCCUUUUUUGGUGUUUUUGGUGGGGGAUGGGCUCGCGGCCUAUCAGCUUGUUGGUGGGGUGAUGGCCUACCAAGGCGGUGACGGGUAGCCGGCCUGAGAGGGUGGACGGUCACACUGGGACUGAGACACGGCCCAGACUCCUACGGGAGGCAGCAGUGGGGAAUAUUGCACAAUGGGCGCAAGCCUGAUGCAGCGACGCCGCGUGAGGGAUGGAGGCCUUCGGGUUGUGAACCUCUUUCGCCAGUGAAGCAGGCCUGCUCCUUUUUUGUGGGUGGGUUGACGGUAGCUGGAUAAGAAGCGCCGGCUAACUACGUGCCAGCAGCCGCGGUAAUACGUAGGGCGCGAGCGUUGUCCGGAAUUAUUGGGCGUAAAGAGCUCGUAGGCGGCUGGUCGCGUCUGUCGUGAAAUCCUCUGGCUUAACUGGGGGCUUGCGGUGGGUACGGGCCGGCUUGAGUGCGGUAGGGGAGGCUGGAACUCCUGGUGUAGCGGUGGAAUGCGCAGAUAUCAGGAAGAACACCGGUGGCGAAGGCGGGUCUCUGGGCCGUUACUGACGCUGAGGAGCGAAAGCGUGGGGAGCGAACAGG